rnacentral:rRNA from 1 species
GACGAACGCUGGCGGCGUGCUUAACACAUGCAAGUCGAGCGGUAAGGCUCCUUCGGGAGUACACGAGCGGCGAACGGGUGAGUAACACGUGAGUAAUCUGCCCUUCACUUCGGGAUAACCACCGGAAACGGUGGCUAAUACCGAAUACGACCAGUCUUCGCAUGAGGUGCUGGUGGAAAGUCUUUUCGGUGAAGGAUGUGCUCGCGGCCUAUCAGCUUGUUGGUGGGGUAAUGGCCUACCAAGGCUUCGACGGGUAGCCGGCCUGAGAGGGUGACCGGCCACACUGGGACUGAGACACGGCCCAGACUCCUACGGGAGGCAGCCGUGGGGAAUAUUGGACACUGGGCGAAAGCCUGAUCCAGCAACGCCGCGUGAGGGAUGACGGCCUUCGGGUUGUAAACCUCUUUCAGUACCGACGAAGCGCCCUGUCGGGUGGUGACGGUAGGUACAGAAGAAGGACCGGCCAACUACGUG